rnacentral:rRNA from 1 species
AGAGUUUGAUCCUGGCUCAGAACGAACGCUGGCGGCGUGCUUAACACAUGCAAGUCGAGCGGCAGCGGGAAAGUAGCUUGCUACUUUUGCCGGCGAGCGGCGGACGGGUGAGUAAUGCCUGGGGAUCUGCCCAGUCGAGGGGGAUAACAGUUGGAAACGACUGCUAAUACCGCAUACGCCCUACGGGGGAAAGGAGGGGACCUUCGGGCCUUUCGCGAUUGGAUGAACCCAGGUGGGAUUAGCUAGUUGGUGGGGUAAUGGCUCACCAAGGCGACGAUCCCUAGCUGGUCUGAGAGGAUGAUCAGCCACACUGGAACUGAGACACGGUCCAGACUCCUACGGGAGGCAGCAGUGGGGAAUAUUGCACAAUGGGGGAAACCCUGAUGCAGCCAUGCCGCGUGUGUGAAGAAGGCCUUCGGGUUGUAAAGCACUUCCAGCGAGGAGGAAAGGUUGGCGCCUAAUACGUGUCAACUGUGACGUUACUCGCAGAAGAAGCACCGGCUAACUCCGUGCCAGCAGCCGCGGUAA